rnacentral:rRNA from 1 species
UACGGGGGGGGUAAGCGUUGUUCGGAAUUACUGGGCGUAAAGGGCUCGUAGGCGGCCAACUAAGUCAGACGUGAAAUCCCUCAGCUUAACUGGGGAACUGCGUCUGAUACUGGAUGGCUUGGAUUCGGGAGAGGAAUGCGGAAUUCCAGGUGUAGCGGUGAAAUGCGUAGAUAUCUGGAGGAACACCGGUGGCGAAGGCGGCGUUCUGGACUGUUACUGACACUGAGGAACGAAAGCCAGGGGAGCAAACGGG